rnacentral:rRNA from 1 species
AUACGGAGGGUGCGAGCGUUACUCGGAGUCACUGGGCGUAAAGCGUCCGUAGGCGGUCGGGUAAGUCGGGUGUGAAAGCCCCGGGCUCAACCUGGGAAGUGCACCCGAUACUGCUCGACUCGAGUGCGGGAGAGGAUGGCGGAAUUCCCGGUGUAGCGGUGAAAUGCGUAGAGAUCGGGAGGAACGCCAGUGGCGAAGGCGGCCAUCUGGCCCGCAACUGACGCUGAGGGACGAAAGCGUGGGGAGCAAACAGGAUUAGAAACCCUAGUAGUCC